GAUGAACGCUAGCUACAGGCUUAACACAUGCAAGUCGCGGGGCAGCAUGGGGGUUGCUUGCAAUCCCCGAUGGCGACCGGCGCACGGGUGAGUAACGCGUAUCCAACCUGCCCUUCACCACGGGAUAACCCGGCGAAAGUCGGACUAAUACCGUAUGUUGUCCAUUGACGGCAUCCGAUUUGGACGAAAGGCUUGGCGGUGAGGGAUGGGGAUGCGUCCGAUUAGCCAGACGGCGGGGUAACGGCCCACCGUGGCUACGAUCGGUAGGGGUUCUGAGAGGAAGGUCCCCCACACUGGAACUGAGACACGGUCCAGACUCCUACGGGAGGCAGCAGUGAGGAAUAUUGGUCAAUGGGCGUAAGCCUGAACCAGCCAAGUAGCGUGCAGGAUGACGGCCCUAUGGGUUGUAAACUGCUUUUAUGCGGGGAUAAAGUGGCCCACGUGUGGGCUUUUGCAGGUACCGCAUGAAUGAGGACCGGCUAAUUCCGUG
rnacentral:rRNA from 1 species